rnacentral:rRNA from 1 species
GACGAACGCUGGCGGCGUGCUUAACACAUGCAAGUCGAACGGAAAGGCCCUGCUUGCAGGGUACUCGAGAGGCGAACGGGUGAGUAACACGUGGGUGAUCUGCCCUGCACUUCGGGAUAAGCCUGGGAAACUGGGUCUAAUACCGGAUAGGAGCCAUUUUUAGUGUGAUGGUUGGAAAGUUUUUUCGGUGUAGGAUGAGCUCGCGGCCUAUCAGCUUGUUGGUGGGGUAAUGGCCUACCAAGGCGGCGACGGGUAGCCGGCCUGAGAGGGUGGACGGCCACAUUGGGACUGAGAUACGGCCCAGACUCCUACGGGAGGCAGCAGUGGGGAAUAUUGCACAAUGGGCGCAAGCCUGAUGCAGCGACGCCGCGUGGGGGAUGACGGCCUUCGGGUUGUAAACUCCUUUCGCUAGGGACGAAGCUUUUUGUGACGGUACCUAGAUAAGAAGCACCGGCUAACUACGUG